AUGUUUCAGUAACAGCUCUAUAUGUGAUACAGAGAAGAUUAGCAUGGUCCCUGCACAAGAAUGACACACAAAUUCAUGAAGCGUUCCAUAUUUUU
rnacentral:snRNA from 1 species